GAUCGUACAUGUUUGAACAGCUAGUAACAAGGAAUUCUACACUGUCAUACUUGCACCACGUCAUCAAUAACAAGUCAAUCACAUUCCUUCUUUUUAAACAAAAGUACAAUAAAAAUACUUUUUUACAAUCAUGAUGGGACAUAUAUUCUUAAAAGGAUUAAUUUGAUUGGUUUGUUAUGCCACGUCACUAAUAUACCCGUUGCAUUCUAGAAUUUUUCGCUAGUAACAGACGUUUCAUCAAAUUCCGUGCAUGUUCUCUAUCGACCAGGAGAGAUACACGAUCAAGAAAUGCAUGGAACCCCAGGACUCCGUUUGGAUCGAAAAUUAAUAGGAACUAGUUAUACCGUAGAUAGGUAUAAAUAUAAAUUUUUAUAGGAAUAAGAGUGUUUUUUUUAUUUGGAUAAAAUUGUAAGUAUAAGUUGGAACUAAAAAAAUUAUGUUUAGAUAGUUUUUAAAAAUAAGAGCAAUAGUUGGCAGUUAUAAAUAGAAAAUAAUAAUAUUAUCUCUAUAAUUGAAUUUUAAACUUAUAAUUUUAAAUUUAAAAUUUUAACUUUUAAAUUUAAAUUAGAAAUUAAAAUUUUAAAUUUUAAUAUUAAAAAUUUUAAUUU
rnacentral:lncRNA from 1 species